rnacentral:rRNA from 1 species
GUUGGAGAGUUGAGAGGAGUCGUCUCUAGUACGAGAGGACCGAGAUGAACGGACCUCUGGUGUAGCUGUUGUUCUGCCAAGGGCAUCGCAGCUUAGCUACGUCCGGACGGGAUAACCGCUGAAAGCAUCUAAGCGGGAAGCCUCCCUCGAGAUUAGAUUUCAUAGAGUCGUGGUAGACCACCACGUUGAUAGGCCGGGUGUGGAAGCGCAGUAAUGCGUGAAGCUAACCGGUCCUAAUAACUCUAUUCGCGCUUGA